AUCGCUUCUCGGCCUUUUGGCUAAGAUCAAGUGUAAAAUAAAAGAACCACUCUAACUCCUGAACAAAAGGCCCUUACUUUUUUUUUUUUUUGGUUUUUUGGGGGUUUUUUUUAGGAAAUUAUUUAAACAAAUGCAUUUUAUUUUUUAAAACAACAAAAGAGGCGGAAAAUAC
rnacentral:snRNA from 1 species